GGGAGUGGGGCCUCCUCCUUUCAGAUGAACACAGUUGUCUGCUGCCUCCCACGUUCCACUUCUUAAAUGAGCAUGUUUGUGCUGUAUAGGCAAGGGCAACAGAAAACGCAAAGUGUCCUUUCCAGGAGGGCCAAAGGAGGGGGGCAGGGACGCUGGGAAGAGGCGCCAAAGCGGAGGACGGCUGCAGGGGUGACUUCAGCGCUUGGCUACCAAGACCAGGUGUUUCUCUUCCUCCUGCCCUGGGUACCAUCCCACAGAGAGGCCAGGCCCACCUGCAGGUCCUCACCUCCACAGAGCCAGCCUCUCUUGAGCAGCUCCGCUCUGCCUUCUGAUACUCAUCGCCACAAGCACCUUGUCCUUCCUCGGCCUCCCACUCCCUCCCUCUGAGCCCGCGCCCUGCUCCCCUGCCUGGCGGUCAGUCGACUGCCCCGCCCCGCCUCCAAUUCAGGUGGACAGGCUUCAGCGUCCACUACCGGGGAAGAGGCAGCCCCGCACCCGUGCCUCCCCCCGCCUCUGGGCCGCUCCUUCCCAGCCUGAGCCUGACCGCAUGAGGAAGGCACAACCUCUCUGCUCCAGAGACCUGGAGAGGCCGGGAGGCCCUGUCCUGGGCAUGGAAGGCAGGAGGGAGCCCUGAGUGCGGCAGGAGGGAAGCAGCGCUUCAGGGGAAGGAUCUAAUGGCUGUGACCUGCGUGGGCUGCAGUAUGUUGUUCUGCUUGAAGCAGAUGAAGGAAAUCCAGCCUCACACAGAUAUGUUGCUCAAGGGCAGACCCUGCACACUCCCUGAAAGGGCCCUAGGGAACCAAAGAUCACACUUUGAGAACUGCUGCUCUUGAGGCAAGACUGGAUUAAAUUUAAAGGCA
rnacentral:lncRNA from 1 species